rnacentral:tmRNA from 20 species
AGACUUCAAAUAAGGAAUUUUGCCCCUAUAUUGAUGGGUGCCGGACGGAUUUCCGACCGGCUAUGGCGAUAAACGGAUUGUGUAAUAAACCAUUCGGACCCGGGGGCAGUACCCGGCGCCUCCACCAAUUUUCCCUGUCGCGGCAGGGACCUUGGGGGCGAACCAGGAUCGACGAGGGUGUAAAGACAGUCUUUUUGCCCGGCAUGGUUCCGCCGUCAUCGGGCCGUUUUAUAGUUGCCAACGACAACUAUGCUGAGGCGCGUCUCGCUGCUUAAUGCAGUGCGACAACCUCGAUUUAAGUCCUUACCUUUAGCCGGGUAAGGCGGGGUUCGGGGGCACCUGGCAACAGAAGCCCCCACU